rnacentral:misc_RNA from 1 species
UGGCUCUCGCAUCGAUGAAGAACGCAGCGAAAUGCGAUAAGUAAUGUGAAUUGCAGAAUUCAGUGAAUCAUCGAAUCUUUGAACGCACCUUGCACCUUUUGGUAUUCCGAAAGGUAUGCCUGUUUGAGUGUCAUGAAGACUCAUCUCAAUCAGUUUCUGAACUGUUUGGUGAUGGCUUGGGCGUCUGCCUGUCAAAGGCUCGCCUUAAAUGUAUAAGUGGUCUUUGGAUGUAAUACGUUUCGUCCUUCUGGCUGCUCAUAACCAACCAUAUUCUUUAAUCUGACCUCAAAUCAGGUAGGGCUACCCGCUGA